rnacentral:lncRNA from 1 species
UGAGUCCUGUAGCCUCACCUAAUAGUUAUUGGCACAUUUCUUAGUUAUGUCCGACCCACUGUUCAUCAGCAAGUGUAAAGCUGUCAUUGGGUCCCUCACCUAAUAGUUAUUGGGCCCAAUCCUAUCUUUAAUCUGAGGCAUCUAAUGCCAAUAGAGUGAUUAUACCUUCUCGAUAUAACCAAACCACUGUAACCAGUCGAGAAUGAUCAAUACCAAAAAAGGCAUCCAUAUC